UACACAACACAACCCUCCAGUUCCAACAGUUAGAGAAUUAACAAAAUACCAUAAAUAAAAAUAAUUUACCCUUUUUUGACAAUGCUAAAUGAGCAAACACAUAAGUAAAGCCACAACUGAACUCCCAAUAUCAAACAAAACAAAUCCAACACUUUCUUCCCCAAAGACCCAACCGUUGUAAUCUUCAACAUCUUGUUUACCAGAAGAAGCCCAAGACAGUUGAAGGUUAACUUGGAUAAC
rnacentral:lncRNA from 1 species